CCAGAGCAAGCUGCUGCUUCUAAAAGCUCUAAGCCCAGAACUGACAAUGGUCAAUAGGGAACAUAAUACAAGAAUUCUGCUUGAGAGCAAGAACUGGCUCUUCUUUUAAAAAUCAUAGACCAACUUCCCAUUCUGUAUAGAGAGGCGAAAUGAGACAGUUUUCGAACAACAAGCAGAUUCCAAGAUCAAGGAACUUGUUAGAGUCUGGUCCUGCCACUUUCUAGCAAUGGAACUCUGGACUACUGAACACAAACCUUCAAAGAGAGAACAGAACAGUAUUGGUCUAUUGAUUAAGAUGGCUUCCCAUCUAAGACAGAAAAAAAAAAAAAAUAAAACCAAAGAAACAAGGGCAGAAGACAAAUGACGUUUCCGGGUGACGGCAUGCAAUGCACCUGUGACUUCUCUCCAGUCUGACCGCAGCUGUCAGGUGAGCCCUCUGUUCACUGAAGGGCACCUGCGUUCCUCAACAGUGCUCACAAUGAAAGGGCACUGGAUCACUCCAGAUCUUUCACUGUUAGGCAGAACUGAGAUAGAGGUGACCUCUAUAAUUCUCAGCUUGGAAAUGUAUUGGCUUCAGAAUCAUUACCUCACAUCGCAGACACGUGAUGGUACCUUUUAGCCUGGCACUGGUUAGAAGGCAGAAAGGGAACAAGCAAAUACAGAGGGAGCAUCUGUUGAGUUCAGCAUGGUGCCAGGUCAUUCACCAGUUUAUUUAAUCCUCAGCAGGUCCCUCUGAAAGGUGAGUUUUGAGGCUUCUUUUACAGAAGUGGAAACUGAGUCAGAGGGGUAAAAGGACUUUGUAACCCUGCAAGAAAGUGGUGUGGCCAGGAAAGAUGCCAGAAAAGCUUCUCUCAAGGGAAAUCGGUUCAUUAAUAGACAAGAGAGAAAUCUGAUCAGUAUAUUUUUCUUCUUUUCUUACUUCUAUUUUCUUUCUGGCUGUAUGAAGAACAAGGACUUCAAGCACUUACUAUGAUGAAUAAAUGAAACAGCUCAUGCCAUCUUUAUAUUUGUAGUUCCCUCUUCAUGACGUUUUUUUGCCUUAGCGAACUCUUCUUCUUCCUGGCCUCAGUUUAAAUGUCAUUGUCUCCACGAAGCCUGCCCAGGUUACCCACCUAAAGUAUUCUCAACCUCCUGACUUGCUAUCACAUUUCCUUGAUCAUCUUCAUAGCUUCUAUCACAAUUUGUAACUAUCUUAUUAUUAACCAUCUUCCCACAGAAAGAAGCCUCUAUGAAAAAAGAGGCUGUUUGUUUGUUGCUUAUGCUCUAUGCUUAGUGCUUAGCACAGUGCCUGGCAUGUAGCUGCUGCUAAAAAAUACUGGUUAAGUGACAGCGUGAAUAAAUAAUAAAUCACUCAAAAAUUUAGAGCUACUGCACACACACACAUGAAAGUUCCCUUCUAGUUCCCUCUUUUCCUCUGACCAUUUUUGGGUUCACUUUCGUUUGACCUCAUUUUUUAUUAUGGUGACCAGUGAUGCUGACUUAGAUUACACUGAGAUGCAUUUGAAGCAGAAGAGGAAAUCUAGCUUACCUCCUGCUCUGUGGCAAAAGGAUUUAGGCUGUUUUCCUCCUUUUUAAUUUGAUCCUGAAUGGAGAAAAUGUAAGGAGGUAGAAAUUGAAGAUCUGGUGACUCCUGUGUCUAUACAGGGAUUGAAAGGCUUAAUAAUGGGAGGAAAGAAAUGGCUCCUGUUGUGUACAGAAACUUGCCCUGACCAUGCCCCAUCUUCCUCAGAAAGCUUCUGAAGUGCUUCUCCACAGCACCCACCUGCCCUCAGCCUGCAGGUCACAGCAAGUCCAAAGCCCUCCUUGGCUCCUGCACUUCUAAACGUAGGUUCUACC